UUUUCACUUUCUCAUUUCUUUCUCUUUCUACUUUCUCUUCUCUCUUCUGGUUUCACAUCAAUGACUAUUUUCUCUUUCUCUUUCUACUUUCUCUGCUCUCUUCUGGUUUCACAUCAAUAACUAUUUUUUCUUUCUCUUUGGAUUUUUGGUUUAUGAACUAUUAUCAUGUGUUUGUUUCAGAUCUUGCAGAAGCACUCCUUGAAUGCAAAGAAAAUGUUCAAGAUCUCUUAUGGUAUGUGCAAUAAAAGGUGCAGAUGAACAAAGAAAAUGUUCAAGAUCUCUUAUGGUAUGUGCAAUAAAAGACCCUUCCACUUUUUCUAUUUUAUGUUGUGUCAAAUUACUCUAAAGGUUGAAGGAUGCAAAUGUUAGAGCUCGGAUCUGUCACACAUAUUUCAGAUCUACAAGGUUAGAGUUUGAAUCUUCCGUGCAUGUUUCAGAUCUACAGGGUUAGAGUUUCAAUCCAAUGUGCGUGUUUUAGCUCUGAGGGUUUAGAUCUCGAAUCUGCCGUGCAUGUUACAGAUCUAUAAGGUUAUAUUUUAAUUAACUUUUUUUAUUCAAGAUUUUAUUCAUUUUUCUUAUUAUUUCUUUCAGGUUCUCUAAUCUUUCACAUCUUCAUGCUCUAAAUGGAAUAUUUAUAUUUUGUUUUUAUUUUUAUUUGUCUUCUUCCUUCUUA